AUGACGUAACAAGAGGAAAAACAGACUGCACUGUCGAGAAACCUAUUUUCAGAUCCAACUCAGUGGCUGUUUUUAUCGUCUCCUACGGGUUCAAUCCCAGCAGACAACUUGAAAGGAGGAUAUUUGUCACUGCAAAUGCGACCAGUGACAAUAAGGAGCACUCCAAAUCCAGUGAACUCUACAAGAAGAAAGAGAUUGAAGUGAAGCACAGCAUCUCAGUUACAAUAGAAAG